UGGGGAAUAUUGGGCAAUGGGCGCAAGCCUGACCCAGCAACGCCGCGAGAGGGAAGAAGGGUUUCGGAUUGUAAACCUCUGUCGCAAGGGACGAAGAAGUGACGGUACCUUGUGAGGAAGCCCCGGCUAACUACGUGCCAGCAGCCGCGGUAAUACGUAGGGGGCGAGCGUUGUCCGGAAUUACUGGGCGUAAAGGGUGCGUAGGCGGUUGCUUAAGUUGGAUGUGAAAUACCCGGGCUUAACUUGGGGGGUGCAUUCAAAACUGGGCGACUAGAGUUCAGGAGAGGGAAGCGGAAUUCCUAGUGUAGCGGUGAAAUGCGUAGAUAUUAGGAGGAACACCAGUGGCGAAGGCGGCUUUCUGGACUGACACUGACGCUGAGGCACGAAAGCGUGGGGAGCAAACAGG
rnacentral:rRNA from 2 species